UGAGGAAUAUUGGGCAAUACCCGCAAGGGUGACCCAGCAACGCCGCGUGGAGGAUGAAUGUCGUAAGAUUGUAAACUCCUGUUAGAGGGGAAGAAUAGUACCGGUUGGACCGGUAUAUGACUGUACCCUCAGAGAAAGCCCCGGCUAACUACGUGCCAGCAGCCGCGGUAAUACGUAGGGGGCAAGCGUUGUCCGGAUUUACUGGGUGUAAAGGGCGCGCAGGCGGGAUAAAAAGUCAGUGGUGAAAUCCUACAGCUUAACUGUAGAACUGCCUUUGAUACUUUUAUUCUUGAGUUCGGGAGAGAGAGACGGAAUUCCAGGUGUAGUGGUGAAAUACGUAGAUAUCUGGAAGAACACCAGUUGCGAAGGCGGUCUCUUGGUCCGACACUGACGCUGAGGCGCGAAAGCGUGGGGAGCAAACA
rnacentral:rRNA from 1 species